rnacentral:rRNA from 1 species
CAGAGGUCCCGAGCGUUAGGCGGAAUCACUGGGCUUAAAGCGUGUGUAGGCGGCGGCCUAAGUACCUUGUGAAAUCCCACGGCUCACCCGUGGAACUGCUCGGUAUACUGGGUCGCUUGAGCCACUUAGGGGCUACCGGAACAAAUGGUGGAGCGGUGAAAUGCGUAGAUAUCAUUUGGAACGCCAAUGGUGAAAACAGGUAGCUGGGAGUGUGCUGACGCUGAGACACGAAAGCCAGGGGAGCAAACGGGAUUAGAUACCCCGGUAGUCCUGGCUGUAAACGAUGUCGACUAGAUCGUGGCGGCUCUGACGCCUUCACGGUCGAAGCAAAAGUGCUAAGUCGACCGCCUGGGAAGUACGGUCGCAAGGCUA